GAUGAACGCUGGCGGCGUGCCUAAUACAUGCAAGUAGAACGCUGAAGCUUGGUGCUUGCACCGAGCGGAUGAGUUGCGAACGGGUGAGUAACGCGUAGGUAACCUGCCUCUUAGCGGGGGAUAACUAUUGGAAACGAUAGCUAAUACCGCAUAAAAGUCGAUAUCGCAUGAUAUUGAUUUGAAAGGUGCAAAUGCAUCACUAAGAGAUGGACCUGCGUUGUAUUAGCUAGUUGGUGAGGUAACGGCUCACCAAGGCGACGAUACAUAGUCGACCUGAGAGGGUGAUCGGCCACACUGGGACUGAGACACGGCCCAGACUCCUACGGGAGGCAGCAGUAGGGAAUCUUCGGCAAUGGGGGCAACCCUGACCGAGCAACGCCGCGGGAGUGAAGAAGGUUUUCGGAUCGUAAAGCUCUGUUGUAAGAGAAGAACGAGUGUGAGAGUGGAAAGUUCACACUGUGACGGUAACUUACCAGAAAGGGACGGCUAACUACGUG
rnacentral:rRNA from 1 species